GUGGCUGUGGGAUUGGGUGAAGAACUGCACUCUGACUCAGCUUCCCAUCUUCACGGCCCAGGAGCAAAUUCCUCAGGAUCCUGAAAGAGAGCCACACAUUUCCUGCCUCUCAGCUGUCUGUGCUUGCUGAUGUCUGACCUAAAUGACCUUAACAGAGCCAACCAGGGUGACAGUGGCACUACUGAGAAAUGCCUGAAACUUCUCUUUGAAAGCCCAAUGCUGGAUGGAAAGCUGAAUUUUCCAGUGACUGUCCCAUGAAGUUGCCACUUCACAAGGUGGGUUCCAGCAAUCAUAUUUUGAACAAAAUCCGACAUGGUCUUUGGCCUCCAUUUUCCACAGAGAAAAGACGUCUGAGUCAGCA